GCCAGUGUUGCUCAGUGGUUAGAGCGCCGGCCCUCGGACUGAAGGGUCCCGGGUUCGAUUCCCGGUCAAGGGCG
rnacentral:tRNA from 1 species